GACGAACGCUGGCGGCGUGCUUAACACAUGCAAGUCGAACGGUGAAGUAGAGCUUGCUCUAUGGAUCAGUGGCGAACGGGUGAGUAACACGUGGGCAACCUGCCCCAGACUCUGGGAUAACUCCUCGAAAGAGGGGCUAAUACCGGAUAUUUGCAUUGCAAGACAUCUUGUGAUGCAGAAAGAAUUUCGGUCUGGGAUGGGCCCGCGGCCUAUCAGCUUGUUGGUGAGGUAACGGGUCACCAAGGCGACGACGGGUAGCCGGCCUGAGAGGGCGACCGGCCACAAUGGGACUGAGACACGGCCCAGACUCCUACGGGAGGCGGCAGUGGGGAAUAUUGGGCAAUGGGCGCAAGCCUGACCCAGCAACGCCGCGUGAGGGACGAAGGUCCUCGGAUUGUAAACCUCUUUCAGCAGGGACGAAGCGAAAGUGACGGUACCUGCAGAAGAAGCACCGGCUAACUACGUGCCAGCAGCCGCGGUAA
rnacentral:rRNA from 1 species